rnacentral:lncRNA from 1 species
AAAAUAUUAUUGAAGUCUUCGUCUUCCUUCUUCGGUCGGACAGGUUGCUAGGAUUUCACUGGGCUUAAUUGGACAGGUUGCUAUGACGUACAUUUCUCCUUAAAAAUUGCGUUAUUUAUAUUAUUUUAAUAGACUUGUCUUGUUGGACCUGAUUAGUGGAAUGAAUCACACUUGUGAUUAUAUUACCUAAUCCUUAAUGACAAAUUAACUUCACUGACCUUGAUUUGAGCAUUAAUGAAUAUUUAUGUCCCGUCCGUAAUGGUUUCCCUUGUCUCGGCCAAGUUUCUCUGAUCUGGAAGAUCGAAUCUAC